CAGUCCCCUUGAGAAGCGCCUGAAAGAAUUCGUCCGGAGAAUUGAAGACCCACGUUUGAUCGACGACCUUGGUGCCGAUGUCGCGAUAGCCGCACCGGGUCAGCGCAUCGCGGCAGUUGGCCGGGUCGCUGUAGUAAAAGAACGGCGGACCGGGAGGAAGCUGGACAUCGGGGUCGCCCAGCAACUGGAUCGCCUGUAUGGGAAUGGCAAAUCCCGGCACUGUUGGC
rnacentral:misc_RNA from 1 species